AAUGCCUAGGAAUCUGCCUGGUAGUGGGGGACAACGUUUCGAAAGGAACGCUAAUACCGCAUACGUCCUACGGGAGAAAGCAGGGGACCUUCGGGCCUUGCGCUAUCAGAUGAGCCUAGGUCGGAUUAGCUAGUUGGUGAGGUAAUGGCUCACCAAGGCGACGAUCCGUAACUGGUCUGAGAGGAUGAUCAGUCACACUGGAACUGAGACACGGUCCAGACUCCUACGGGAGGCAGCAGUGGGGAAUAUUGGACAAUGGGCGAAAGCCUGAUCCAGCCAUGCCGCGUGUGUGAAGAAGGUCUUCGGAUUGUAAAGCACUUUAAGUUGGGAGGAAGGGCAGUAAAUUAAUACUUUGCUGUUUUGACGUUACCGACAGAAUAAGCACCGGCUAACUCUGUGCCAGCAGCCGCGGUAAUACAGAGGGUGCAAGCGUUAAUCGGAAUUACUGGGCGUAAAGCGCGCGUAGGUGGUUCGUUAAGUUGGAUGUGAAAUCCCCGGGCUCAACCUGGGAACUGCAUCCAAAACUGGCGAGCUAGAGUAUGGUAGAGGGUGGUGGAAUUUCCUGUGUAGCGGUGAAAUGCGUAGAUAUAGGAAGGAACACCAGUGGCGAAGGCGRNNACUNNACUNAUNNANUGACNCUGANGNNCGAAAGCGUGGGUAGCGAACAGGAUUAGAUACCCUGGUAGUCCACGCCGUAAACGAUGGAUACUAGCUGUUGGGAGCAAUCUCAGUGGCUAAGCGAAAGUGAUAAGUAUCCCACCUGGGGAGUACGUUCGCAAGAAUGAAACUCAAAGGAAUUGACGGGGGCCCGCACAAGCGGUGGAGCAUGUGGUUUAAUUCGAUGAUACGCGAGGAACCUUACCAAGGCUUAAAUGUAGUUUGACCGAUUUGGAAACAGAUUUUUCGCAAGACAAAUUACAAGGUGCUGCAUGGUUGUCGUCAGCUCGUGCCGUGAGGUGUCAGGUUAAGUCCUAUAACGAGCGCAACCCCUGUUGUUAGUUGCCAGCGAGUCAUGUCGGGAACUCUAACAAGACUGCCAGUGCAAACUGUGAGGAAGGUGGGGAUGACGUCAAAUCAUCACGGCCCUUACGCCUUGGGCUACACACGUGCUACAAUGGCCGGUACAGAGAGCAGCCACUGGGCGACCAGGAGCGAAUCUAUAAAACCGGUCACAGUUCGGAUCGGAGUCUGCAACUCGACUCCGUGAAGCUGGAAUCGCUAGUAAUCGGAUAUCAGCCAUGAUCCGGUGAAUACGUUCCCGGGCCUUGUACACACCGCCCGUCAAGCCAUGGAAGCUGGGGGUGCC
rnacentral:rRNA from 1 species